AAUCAGUGCCCGUGUGGGAUCCAAGCGUGUGGAAAGCGAGGACUUUAACCAAUAGGUUACUAUGCCAGGCCCUAGGUAUCAAUUUCUGACUUACUGUGUCUCUGAACUUAUUUUAAUACGUUAGUAUUUAAACCUUUUAAUAUCUUUUUAAAACCUUUUAAUGUUUAAUAGCUUGGUAAUGACAUGUUUUUUAGUGGUAAAGUUUUUUUUUUUUUUUAAGAAUAAUUUAUUGUAUUUACAAAAGUGGAGAUGAAGAGAGAUCCUCACCCACUGUUUCACUCCUCAAAUAGUUGCAAUGGUCAGAGCUGAACUGAUCCAAAGCUGGGAGCCAGGAGCUUCUUCCUGAUCUCCCACAUGGGUGCAGGGGCCCAAGGCCUUCAGCCCUUCUCUGCUCGCUCCCAGGGCUUUAGCAAGGAGCUGGAUCAGAAGUGGAACAGUGGAUUCAACCUGCUACCACCCGUAGGGGAUGCUGCUGCUGCAGGCUGAGGUUAGUUGGCUAAGCCGCCAUGCCAGCCCGAUGGCGACAGUAUUCUUGUACAGCAAUCACAAUUGUGUCAAUUUUGUUCAGCCAUGAUAUUUGUAGAGGGAGGAAGGUAUUCCGGAAGCAGAGUAUUUUUGGUUCUCACAUAAAUCCUCAGCUAUACCAAAUCUUUCUUUCUCAAUAUUUCCAUGACAGUGUUUGUAUUCUUUCCAUAUACACUAAUAUUUGUGAUUUUUGCUGGAUACAACACUAUUUUAAUUACAGAGCUUGAGGUAUAAAUUUAGUUGAAAUAGAUGAAUGCUUAAUAUCAGUAUAAUCAAGUAGCUUUGGAAUCCACAAUAUAAUCAUUAGUAGCGGAGGCAGCAGUUCAGUUAAGAUUAAAUACAAAUAACUCCCUUGCAUUGCUAUUUAGUCAUAUUUUAUUGGACAGAAUGUUUACUGAAUUAAAGAUACCUAGUGACAUUUAACUGAGGGAAAUUUUGAAACAUUAAAUAAAAGAAAUAAUUUGAAGCUGUAAUGAAAGCAUCUCGAUCAAUGCAUGAAAGAUAGCUUGAAUCUGAACUGCUUCUCCUUAGCCAGCGGCAGCAGCAGAGUAGCAGGCUUCUAAGUUAUCGAUUACUCAGUAACUGUGCUGUGAGAGAAUAUUACUGAUAGUCCAUAAAGAAGAGCGUGCUAUAUAGAUGUACGUAUUUAAUGAACAUUUCAUACUUCUGUUUGCAGAGUACCAGCUACUUGCCGGGUGGCGGGGAAGACAUUCAAUAGAGUUAUUAAAUCUUUAAACUUUAAGCCUUCAAAUUUUGAGAUUUACAUAAGAGUUUCAAGUGUGAUACAGAAAAGUAAUUAUAAACAUCAACUCUUAGCCUAGAUUACCUCAUAUUUUAAUAUCAUCUCAGCAACUGCAUAGUGAUUAACUUUGGGCCCAUUAUUUUUCCUCUAAUCCAUUUUUUCCUCAUCUGCAAAAUGUGAGUACUGAUCAUACCCGCCUCUUGUGGUGGUUUUAAAAAUCAGAUGAUGCACAUUGUUUUGGUCGAUGAAAGUUGCCAUGUAAUUAGUCAUUGAUCUGUGAGACUUCAUGUGUUUUUUAGCCCUCAGCCAAGCCUCUGGAAAGAAUACUUACCUCAUAUCAGGAAAUGGUGUGUGUGGCGCAGUUGUAACAGAGCCAGCACUCCCAGAGCAGAGGCGCAGCAGGUGCUGGCUCAAGGAAGCAGGAAAGUCUCCUGACUUUAACCUGGCCUUCAUCAGUGGACAGGAGAUCUCUCUGUCACACUGUUUCGAAUAAUCUUUGCAAAAAAUAUAUGAUAAUUUAUUUAAAAUUGCUUCAGUUAUUCUGAUUAGAUUCCUAGCUAGUUGUCAACAACUUUGUUGAGGUUAUAUGUUCUAUAAAGUGUAACAUUUUGUGCUUUGCUCUGAAGUAUCAAUAUUUAAAUUUGCAUGAAACCGGUCACAGAGUGAUGUGUUCUUUAAGCAUGUAAAAAAAAAAAGAGGGAGAUUUUAAAACCAUGUCUGUGUAUGAUACACAGAAUAUGCAUAGGAUUGUGGAUUUGUAAGAAAGUAAAGGCGCUGUGCUGGUUCCGUCCUUUUGCGCAUGUGUCUGUCAUCAGCAGGUCGUUCCAGUGCAGCAGCUUAUGUGCUCAUCUUAUCGGUGAACGGUAGACAUGGUGCAGCUCUGUCAGCUUCACAAAAUGCUAGGGAGAAAAGUAACUAAAACUUGUUCUUAAAGACUAAUUGUAGUUUUCUUUUAACAUGUUUUUAAUAUGCCAAG